UACGUAGGGGGCAAGCGUUAUCCGGAUUUACUGGGUGUAAAGGGAGCGUAGGUGGCAAGGCAAGUCAGAUGUGAAAAUCCGGGGCCCAACCCCGGAACUGCAUUGGAAACUGUAUUUCUAGAGUGUCGGAGAGGCAAGUGGAAUUCCUAGUGUAGCGGUGAAAUGCGUAGAUAUUAGGAGGAACACCAGUGGCGAAGGCGGCUUACUGGACUGUAACUGACGUUGAGGCUCGAAAGCGUGGGGAGCAAACAGG
rnacentral:rRNA from 1 species